AGUAGGAUUUAAAUUAUGACAACAAGCACAAAUCCUCAGAAAUCAGUAUCUUAUCAGCAUAACACGCCGACCAAUAUUGAACCUACAGUCAAUAAGUUUAUCUUAUCGAUAUCGAUCAUUUACCUGACGGGGUUUAGACCUGAAAUAAGUUAAGGAAAAUCAAAAUGAUCGGAGCAGUUGCAAGGAUUUCCAACAGGACCGUUGGGAAGAAUGUCGUAAAGACCAGUGUUAGGAGUGGAUCCAACGGCGGUAUUCCCGGGGAGAAUCUGCCAUUCGACAUCAAUAAUAAGGCUCGCCUGACCUUCCACAUGUUCUGGUUCUUCGGCAGCGGAUUUGCAGCACCCUUCCUUGUUGUGUGGCAUCAGAUGAGGAAGAAUUCUAAUUCUUAAAUUUAAAAUGGGAAUUUAACACAUCAAGCUAGUAGGAGGCAGUCCGGAGUGAAUAAAAUUAACUAUUGAUUUGUAUUUAUGUAGAUGAAAUCUCAAAUAUACAAGUAAAAAAGGA